AAUAGAUACCCAGGUAGUCCACGCCGUAAACGAUGAGUGCUAGGUGUUAGAGGGUUUCCGCCCUUUAGUGCUGCAGCUAACGCAUUAAGCACUCUGCCUGGGGAGUACGGCCGCAAGGCUGAAACUCAAAGGAAUUGACGGGGGCCCGCACAAGCGGUGGAGCAUGUGGUUUAAUUCGAAGCAACGCGAAGAACCUUACCAGGUCUUGACAUCCUCUGACCAUCCUGGAGACAGGACCUUCCCCUUCGGGGGACAGAGUGACAGGUGGUGCAUGGUUGUCGUCAGCUCGUGUCGUGAGAUGUUGGGUUAAGUCCCGCAACGAGCGCAACCCUUGAGAUUAGUUGCCAGCAUUCAGUUGGGCACUCUAAUCUGACUGCCGGUGACAAACCGGAGGAAGGUGGGGAUGACGUCAAAUCAUCAUGCCCCUUAUGACCUGGGCUACACACGUGCUACAAUGGAUGGUACAAUGGGCUGCGAAACCGCGAGGUGGAGCGAAUCCCACAAAAACCAUUCUCAGUUCGGAUUCG
rnacentral:rRNA from 1 species